GUCUGCGUCGAUUAGUGGUUAAAUCACUUCGUUGUGGCAUGCCGUAAUGUGACCUCCGAAGAGCCGGGUGUUCGAUCCACCCCGCGGACA